AGUGAACGCUGGCGGUAGGCCUAACACAUGCAAGUCGAACGGCAGCACAGUAAGAGCUUGCUCUUACGGGUGGCGAGUGGCGGACGGGUGAGGAAUACAUCGGAAUCUACUUUUUCGUGGGGGAUAACGUAGGGAAACUUACGCUAAUACCGCAUACGACCUACGGGUGAAAGCAGGGGAUCUUCGGACCUUGCGCGAUUGAAUGAGCCGAUGUCGGAUUAGCUAGUUGGCGGGGUAAAGGCCCACCAAGGCGACGAUCCGUAGCUGGUCUGAGAGGAUGAUCAGCCACACUGGAACUGAGACACGGUCCAGACUCCUACGGGAGGCAGCAGUGGGGAAUAUUGGACAAUGGGCGCAAGCCUGAUACAGCCAUACCGCGUGGGUGAAGAAGGCCUUCGGGUUGUAAAGCCCUUUUGUUGGGAAAGAAAAGAAGCAGGUUAAUACCCCGCUGUUCUGACGGUACCCAAAGAAUAAGCACCGGCUAACUUCGUG
rnacentral:rRNA from 1 species